rnacentral:lncRNA from 1 species
AGCUGUUGCUGCCGGCCUUCACCAGAGCCACAGCAACUCGAGAUCCAAGCCACAUCUGCGACCUACACCACAGCUCACGACAACGCUGGAUCCCCAACCCACUGAGUGAGGCCAGGGAUUGAAGCCGAAACCUCAUGGUUCCUAGUCGGAUUCACUGCUGCUGCACCACGACGGGAACGUCUCUAACUCAUUUUUAACUAUGAAACUAUUUAUUUUACUUAGGUUGAAACUGUAACUUAAGUUCAAGUCUUAUAACCUCUUGGAAAACAAGAACAUCACCAUCUCUUACAAACCCUAAUAGAGACAUUUUAUUCUUUUAUUCAUCGGAGUUUUCAAUGGUCCUAAAAAGUAGCAUAAGGGAGUUUCUAUUUAUAGAGGGCCUGUUACAUGUCAGGCACUGACUAGUUGCUUUCUUUUAAGCCUUCCUACUAUACUGAAAUGGGUACAGAGACAUGUUUUUUUCCUUAAAAACUGACUUAUUGAAGAGGUCUGCUUAAAAAUAGCACUUAGGAGUUCCCAUCAUGGCUCAGCAGUUAACGAACCCGACUAGCAUCCAUGAGGUUGCGGGUUCGAUCCCUGACCUCACUCAUGGGUUAAGGAUCUGGCAUUGCCGUGAGCUGUGGUGUAGGUUGCAGAUGCAGCCUGAAUCCUGCAUUGCUGUGGCUGUGGUGUAGGCCGGCGGCUACAGCUCUGAUUAGACCCCCAGCCUGGGUACCUCCCUCCACGUGCCUUGGGGAGCGGCCCUAGAAAAGGCGAAAAGACAAAAAAAAUUUUAAAAAUUAAAAAAAAUAAAGAGAGUCAGCCUUUAUCCCUGAGAUCUGUCUUCUGCCUACAACCUGACCCCAGGGGGCAUAAGCAAAAAUUCAGAAAGCUGCUUGUCAAAAAACUAUCUAAGUCUUAGGGCAUAAGCAACACCAUUGGGGUGGGGGGGUCCCUCUAAAAUUACAGCGUAACACAAAAAGGGGAUAGAGGUCUCUUCCACUUUAGAACAUAACUUCUCAUUCUGGACAUCCCGGGACUAGAGCAGGGUUUCUCCAUCUCAGCCCUGCUGAUAUUUGGGGACAGAUACUUCUUUGUUGUGAGGCCUGUCCUGAACAUUGCGGGACAUGUGUAGCAUGCCUGGCCUUUACCCACUAGAUGCCAACAGCACCUGCCCCCAAGUUGGGACAACCCAAAAUGUCUCCAGAUCUCUCCAAAUGUCCCCUAGGGGACAAAACUGCCUAGCUGAUCACCACUGCUUCUGGUUAUUAGUGGUUGUGGCAAUAACUAAGAGGGGACUUCAGUGCCCCCUGGAAGUGGCAGUGAUGCACAGCUGCAAAAAUAAAGGUGCCUGGAAGAUAUGUCCGUGCUGGGGACAGGGACGACUGUGUGUGUGUGGGGGGGGGAGGGUUUGCUGGGUGGGGACAGCAGGUGAGGAGAGCAGCUUCCAAAGCAGAAAGUAUAUAUAUAUAUUUUUUAAGAAAGGCACAAACAGGACUCCAUGCCAGCAGAACAGCAUCUGGCCAGUCCCACCCUGAAAUACUCUGGGAGACUGCAAAGGGCUAGGGGACCAAAAGAACAAGAAAGCAGUGGGGAGAAACUGUGAAAUAUACUCUUUGUCUUUCC